CACCUGACAUAGGAGAGGAGGUUUUUUUUACAUGUACACACUAAGAGCUUGAGUGAUCAAAAGUAUUGUAAUUAGGUAGUAUUGUAAGGUGGUUAAACAGUAGCUCUAAAGUGAUACUUGUACGUUUAUGUAUGCUAUCAGCAAUCAGCUAUACAUGUAGCUAUUAUAACUAUGAUACGGUGUAUAUAACUGAGCUCAGAAAACUGCUGAGCGUAUCUGUAUGGAGGCCUGGUCAAAUAAGUUAUUGAACUGACCACAAUGGUUCCUUCUUUCCCGUGAGCUAGCUUUGUGCGCCUCUAGCAUCUUGGUGAAGGGGUAGUUGCAGAUUACGUCAUUGUUGAGGACAAAGAAAGGGGAGAAGUCAGCAUCCAAUAUGUCUCGGGCAAGGGCAAGGGGACAUGAAAGAUGUGUCAAAUUAUUUAUGGUCCAUACAAAGUAAGGAAUGGCCACUUUCAUGGGGUAUACAUGUACUACUCUAGCCUCGUUCCCAGGCCGAUUUUUCUUUAAUAGAACGAAGUUGAAAAAUACGGCCUGGUUGAUUGUAUCAUAGAUUGAAGAGUUAGACUAACUCGUCAAUCUAUGAUUGUAUCUGGGCGUGAUUAUUUUUUACCCUGUAUAAGUUUAAUACCAUAAUUUACAUGUAGCUCUGUGUAUGCGCUCGAGUACUAAAAUCUAGUACUAAAAUCUAGCCAUCGAUUAUAUAGCUAGCUGGCUAUGGCAAGUUAAGUUGUGCAAGAAGGUCUCGCUCUCAUGGCAGAACAGACGCAUGCUCUCCAGCUCCUGUCAGAAGGAAGAAACGUCUUUGUCUGGUUUUCAACAUGGUCUCUUUGCUAUCAAUUACUGCCCUUUGUGAUAGACUACAAGCUAGUAGGUAGGACCACACUGCCGGCCCUUGUCGACAGGUGUGUUGUUUUUGCAAAAUCUCUAUGCUUUUGUUUUUCGGUUCCUACAACCACGCCCAGACACAAUCAAUACCAAAAUUGUCACUGUUACUUUUCUUGAUUGUCCACCCGGAUUUGAAGUCCAUUUUUCUUCUGGAAGACCUAAAUGUGAUUGCGAAAAACAACUCCAAAUUCAUGACGACAGUAUUCAGUGUUUGAUUGCGAGCCAAGUGAUUGUACCACCUCCAGGCUCCUGGGUAGGCUACUACAACACUUCCACCCCGGAUAAGGUCGUCAGGGGGGCACUCUUUCAUCGAUAUUGCCCCUACAAUUACUGUCACUCAAAUCAGUCGUACAUUUCUCUCAAUAAUACCGACAUGCAGUGCUCCUCCAACAGAUCUGGGAUAAUGUGUGGACAGUGUCAAAAAGGUCUCAGUCUCGCCCUUGGCAGAAAUAAGUGUGCAAAAUACUCGAGUAUUAGCCUGCUAUUUAUUAUUGUGUUUGCCUUAGCUGGGGUCGCAUUAGUUGUGCUGUUGUUUGUGUUGAGGCUUACGGUAACAGAAGGAAGUAUUAACGGAUUAAUAUUUUACAUGAAUGUCUUGAAGAUGAACCAUUUUCUGCAGGGAAACGAAACAAAUUUUCUGAGUGUGUUUACUGCAUGGAUGAUUUGGAUAUAGGAAUCGAUUUAUGCUUUUAUGAUGGAAUGGACUCGAUAGCAAAAACAUUCUUACAGUUUGUUUUCCCUGCAUACAUAUGGUUGCUUGUUAUUUUGGUGAUAGUUCUCGCAAAAAGGUUUCGAUUCAUUUCAAACUUAGUUGGACAAAGAGCAGUUCAAGUUCUAGCCACUCUGUUGCUUCUCUCUUAUACAGUGCAUCCAGUCUAAAGAGUAGAAUACCAAAAAUGUGUGAGUAGUUGUACUUAAAUGUAAAUAUCUUAUGAUUGGAACAUUUCUAAGAAAAUCUGCUGAUACCAUUGUGUAGGCGAAUGAAUAAGCUACAACAUAUCCAAAAUUGUUUCCAUGACAACAUAAGGUGGUGGGUUUGUGGUAAUUAAUAAAACAGUACCCAAUUGUUAUAGUGGGUAAUCGGUUAGGGAGAGAAAAGGCCAACGGUUUCCGGCUAAGGUUUGGAACUUUGUCACAACAUCUAUAGAUAGUUUGGCUAUCAUGAAAGAUUCGAUGUUACUUAAAUAUAUCUACACAUUCUCCGCAGUGCUCAAAAUUGCUAGUUUUUAGUGCCGUUUCGGUUAGGGAGAGAUUUGAAGAAAAUCUCAUGGCUAAGGUCUAAAAAUUACACGGAGUAAGCUUGAAUAAAUAAUUGUUUAACUUUUGAUACAAAAAAUAUUUCCAGAAAUACUUUAGUUCCAGAGAUAAUUGAUGUUACGUACAUUUUUUUACGAUCACCCCCAUUAUCUCCAAAAUUAUUUCGCACUACAAUAACUUUUGGGGAAAUAUUUUUGAAUCAUGUAGCUUAUCUUUUACCUAUGGUAUCAGCACAAUUUCUUAGAAAUGUUCCAAUCUUGAGAUACAUCUAAGUACAACUACUCACCAAUUUUUGUAUUCUACUCUCUAGACUGGAUGCACUGUACAAAACUUCAACGAGUGAUUGUUACAUCUCUCACAUAUACCACUUUGUUAUAUCCCAGGGCUCAAUCCAGGGGCGUACACAGGGUGGUGCUUAGGGUGCUCCAGCACCCCCAUCCAGACUCUGGUGCUCCAGCACCCUAUACAGACUCAGAGAAGCUCAAGUAGAUAGUUCAACCAUCACUGGCUGGCUAGAAGGAAGCUACACUUACUGCAGCUAUCUACAGCUUAAUAGUGAUAGUUACAAUAACUUUAUACCAGUUAGAUCUAGCUAGCUAGCUAAGCUGGCCUAAAAAACUUACUUUUCUUCGAUCGUUACUGGGAUAUCCAUGGGAACUAGUAAAGAGUGGGGAGGGGCUCAAUAAUAAGGCUAGGCAGCAGGAAGUGGUUUGCUGUAUCAAACACAUAGAACACUUGAUUGCUUCACAACAUGCAGCACAACAAGGUUCUUGGAUCCAGGUACAUGAGGUACUGGUGGUCAUACUUUGUACGCUGCCUGUCACCUCCUGGUAAGCUGAUCAAUCUUUUAGUGGCCUGAAAAGAAAAGAAUCAAGACUGUCGUCAGAUCAAGCAAAGGAACAAACGUUUAUCAUCACUUACACUUCUACAUUUACACAGAGUAGACUAGACAUGAUUGCAUUGACAUUUGACAUACCUUAAGAAGAGUUGGCUAGAGUUUGCCAUCCCAGGCGAAUUGA